UACGGAGGGGGCUAGCGUUGUUCGGAAUUACUGGGCGUAAAGCGCACGUAGGCGGCUUUGUAAGUUAGAGGUGAAAGCCCAGGGCUCAACCCUGGAAUUGCCUUUAAGACUGCAUCGCUUGAACAUCGGAGAGGUAAGUGGAAUUCCGAGUGUAGAGGUGAAAUGCGUAGAUAUCGGAAGGAACAUCAGUGGCGAAAGCGGCUUCCUGGACCAGUACCGACGUUCAGGCACGAAAGCGUGGGGAGCAAACAGG
rnacentral:rRNA from 1 species